AGCGAACGCUGGCGGCAGGCCUAAUACAUGCAAGUCGAGCGCACCUUCGGGUGAGCGGCGGACGGGUGAGUAACGCGUGGGAACGUGCCCUUUGGUUCGGAACAACACAGGGAAACUUGUGCUAAUACCGAAUGUGCCCUUCGGGGGAAAGAUUUAUCGCCAUUGGAGCGGCCCGCGUUGGAUUAGGUAGUUGGUGGGGUAAAGGCCCACCAAGCCGACGAUCCAUAGCUGGUCUGAGAGGAUGAUCAGCCACACUGGGACUGAGACACGGCCCAGACUCCUACGGGAGGCAGCAGUAGGGAAUCUUGCGCAAUGGGCGAAAGCCUGACGCAGCCAUGCCGCGUGAAUGAUGAAGGUCUUAGGAUUGUAAAAUUCUUUCACCGGGGAAGAUAAUGACGGUACCCGGAGAAGAAGCCCCGGCUAACUUCGUGCCAGCAGCCGCGGUAAUACGAAGGGGGCUAGCGUUGCUCGGAAUUACUGGGCGUAAAGGGCGCGUAGGCGGAUAGUUUAGUCAGAGGUGAAAGCCCAGGGCUCGACCUUGGAACUGCCUUUGAUACUGGCUAUCUUGAGUUCGGGAGAGGUGAGUGGAAUGCCGAGUGUAGAGGUGAAAUUCGUAGAUAUUCGGCGGAACACCAGUGGCGAAGGCGACUCACUGGCCCGAUACUGACGCUGAGGCGCGAAAGCGUGGGGAGCAAAC
rnacentral:rRNA from 1 species